CGCUUCCGUUUUUUAAUAAUCUCUCCGAUGAAAGGGUAACUAGUCAUCCUUGCGAUUGUAAUUACUAUUGGCUAAUUUCAUUAGAACAUUUAACCACUUUGGUAACCAGACUGGCCUUUUUGUCAGAUAUUUUUUUGUUUUCUUUCGUUGUCUGGAAAAUUUUUGUUUUGUAAAAGAUCGAUGCCAGUUUGAGUAAUAGAAAUUAUUCGCUUGAUUUGGAAAAAUCUUUUUAUUCUUUUUAUUUACAUUCCGGAAAGUGUCUGUUAUAAACGAACUUGCAUCAUUUCAAAAAAGCAUGAAAAAAUAUUAU
rnacentral:lncRNA from 1 species